AUACAGCCUGCCAGGGUGUGCAGACCUUACAACGUUUUUUGUUAUACAAAACCAUGAAUGUCAUCGGAAAAGUUGCCAAAGCAGGUGCCACCCAGUGGGAGUAGUAGCAGCUGAAAAAGCAGCAGAAACAGGAACAAAGAAAUUAAUUACCACAGAAACGUAUCUCCGUAUUGUUAACAAUUCAAAUAGCAACAUAAUUUCUACUCAAGUCAGCGAAACUGACUCUUUUGACUGGUCUAGCUCAGGUCCUGCUGGUAAUUUUCAGAAGAGAAAAAUCCCCAUUGGCGAUCAUUGGGAGGAAAGAGAAGAUGUUAAUUUUUUUGCUUCGAAUUGUCCAUUUACCAUGUUGCUGAGAUUUGCUGACGGUAGUAAAAAUAAA